AUUUAAUAUUUAGAAACAGCCCAAAGAAAGGGUGACUGUGCUGGUAAGGUGGGGAGGACCAAAGACAAAGACACCCAUUGUCAUGAUCAGUACUCAGACCAGACUGCAUCACCACAGUGGCCAAUGUAGAGUGGAGGAAACUCAGAAGUAUUAAACUACUCUCCAUGACUAUGUGGUUAGUAAACAGAGGACUCGGGACUAGAACUCAUCUGUAACUCCUAGGUCAGCCCUUUUCCCACUGCACAGUGCUGCCUCUUCAGUCAAAUUCUUGAGUGUAACUUAAAUGCAGUCUAAAGAAAUUAAAAAUGACCCACUUGAAAGAGAAAAAGAUAAUUUUCAAUUUCCCAAGUCACAGCUGGCAUUGUGCAUGCAAACAAGUCCAGGGAACAGAAUCCGCUAACUUCUGAUAAGGAACUCCUGAAAGGAUGGAAUCAUUCUAAGGCCUAGCAUUAAUGGUGAGAAAAUGGUCUUUCCAAGGGGGCCAAUUAGAGGUUUGGUAGCCUGAAAUAUUUUGCAGAAUGUCAUAGCUCAAGGAAGCUGAGGAAAGGUAGUUAUGCCUGCCUUGAAGAAUCGUGCAAAGUAGGUUAGCAGCGUUGCUUCCAUUUUUGUGAAAGAGAAUGCCUUUCUAAUUUUAGAUUCUUUCAAGAAGUGGGUAGGCUUUUGUGUGAGAGGAAGUUGUUCUCAGUGCUCAUUUCGGGAGGUGCCUGUGAAAUCAUUUUAUAUCCUGUUUGGAAAAGGAAGACAAUGUGGUGGAAAUGUAAAGUGAGUUUGCGUAAAAAGUUAUCUUCCCCAGAGGAGACGGCAGAAAUAAGGAUCCACAGCCAUACUCAUUACUUUUUUCCCAAAGUUAUAGAGAUGUGUGUUAUCAGUUCAAUGCAGGUAUUGGGCUCCUUUAACUGUAAUGUGUCUCCUGAUGUUAUACAGUAGGAACUAUUUAUUUAGCAGAUUAUUCAACACGGGACAAAAGACUUU